GAUGAACGCUGGCGGCGUGCCUAAUACAUGCAAGUCGAGCGAACGGACGAGAAGCUUGCUUCUCUGAUGUUAGCGGCGGACGGGUGAGUAACACGUGGAUAACCUACCUAUAAGACUGGGAUAACUUCGGGAAACCGGAGCUAAUACCGGAUAAUAUUUUGAACCGCAUGGUUCAAAAGUAAAAGACGGUCUUGCUGUCACUUAUAGAUGGAUCCGCGCUGCAUUAGCUAGUUGGUAAGGUAACGGCUUACCAAGGCAACGAUGCAUAGCCGACCUGAGAGGGUGAUCGGCCACACUGGAACUGAGACACGGUCCAGACUCCUACGGGAGGCAGCAGUAGGGAAUCGUACGCAAUGGGCGAAAGCCUGACGGAGCAACGCCGCGUGAGUGAUGAAGGUCUUCGGAUCGUAAAACUCUGUUAUUAGGGAAGAACAUAUGUGUAAGUAACUGUGCACAUCUUGACGGUACCUAAUCAGAAAGCCACGGCUAACUACGUG
rnacentral:rRNA from 1 species